rnacentral:rRNA from 1 species
AACGUAGGUGGCAAGCGUUAUCCGGAAUUACUGGGCGUAAAGGGUGUGCAGGCGGGAGUGCAAGUGGUGUAUGAAAACGUCCGGCUUAAACCGGGCGCUGUUAUGCCAGACUGCAGUUCUAGAGGACGAGAGAGGGGGUGGAAUUCCGGGUGUAGUGGUGAAAUGCGCAGAUAUCAGGAGGAACACCGGUGGCGAAGGCGGGUCUCUGGGCCGAAACUGACGCUGAGGAGCGAAAGCGUGGGAGCAAACAGG